AUGGUUCAAAAAUCUUCAAUGAAUAACGGAAGAAGAGGAGAUGUGACGCGGCCCGGAGGAAGCCCGGGGCCCCCGUCUGGAGCCAGGCCCAGACGGAGGGCUCGAUGGGGAGCGCCUGGUGGCCGGGUUUGCCACGGAGCUGGGUCGGGCACAGCCCGAACAAACUACGUGGCACCCCCCCUCUCUUCAUCCCAUGGGCCCACCACCUUCAACGCCCACGUGGGCAACGAUGGAGACACCUGGAGAGGCAUGGUGGGGAGGAACGGCCUCCCUGAUCUAAACCCGAGCGGUCGUUUGUUAUUGGACUUCUGUGCUAGUCAUGGAUUAUCCAUAACAAACACCAUGUUCGAACAUAAGGGUGCUCAUAAGUGUACCUGGUACCAGAGUACCCUAGGCCGAAGAUCGAUGAUCGAUUUCGUGAUCGUGUCAUCUGAUCUGAGGCCGCAUGUUUUGGACACUCGGGUUAAGAGAGGGGCGGAACUGUCAACCGACCACCAUCUGGUUGUGAGUUGGAUCAGGGAAUGGGGGAAAUUUCCGGAUAGACCUGGUAAGCCCAAACGAGUAGUGCGGGUGAACUGGGAACGUCUGGAGGAGGCCCCCGUCCUAGGUAUCUUCAACUCACACCUCCGGCUGAGUUUUUCUGGAAUUCCUGUGGAGGUUGGGGGCAUUGAGCCGGAGUGGGCGGUGUUCAAAGCCUCCAUUGCUGAAGCUGCGGGGGCUAGCUGUGGCCUCAGGGUCUUAGGCUCCUCAAGGGGCGGUAACCCUCGGACACCGUGGUGGACACCGGUGGUCAGGGAAGCCGUCCGAUUGAAGAAGGAGGCCUUCCGGGAUAUGAUAUCCUGGAGGACUCCUGUCUCGGUUGCAGGGUACCGACAGGCUCGAAGGGCUGCAGCUGCUGCCGUGUCGGAGGCUAAGCAGCGGGUGUGGGAGAAGUUCGGAGAGGCCAUGGAGAAGGACUUUCGGUCAGCACCAAAGUGUUUCUGGAAGACUAUCCGGCACCUCAGGAGGGGGAAACGGGGAACCAUCCAAGCUGUGUACAGUAAGGAUCGGACUCUGUUGACCUCAACUGAGGAGGUUGUCGGACGUUGGAAGGAACACUUUGAGGAACUCCUGAAUCCGAAUAACACGCCCUCUAUGUUGGAGGCAGAGCUCGAGGUUGAUGGUGUGUCGUCGUCAAUUUCCCUGGUGGAGGUCACUGAGGUAGUCAAACAUCACCGCAGUGGCAAAGCCCCAGGGAUUGAUGAGAUCCAGCCAGAAAUGCUAAAGGCUCUGGGUGUUGAGGGGCUGUCAUGGUUGACACGCCUAUUCAAUAGGAGUGUGCCAAAAUAUCGAUACUGCGACAUAUCGCGAUAUUUCGUCUUGCGGGACGUUAUCGAUAUGCUGACGCCAAAUAUCGAUAUUUAA
rnacentral:lncRNA from 1 species